AUUGAACGCUGGCGGCAUGCUUUACACAUGCAAGUCGAACGGCAGCGCGGGCUUCGGCCUGGCGGCGAGUGGCGAACGGGUGAGUAAUUCAUCGGAACGUGCCCAGUAGUGGGGGAUAGCUCGGCGAAAGCCGGAUUAAUACCGCAUACGACCUGAGGGUGAAAGCGGGGGAUCUUCGGACCUCGCGCUAUUGGAGCGGCCGAUGGCAGAUUAGCUAGUUGGUGGGGUAAAGGCCUACCAAGGCGACGAUCUGUAGCUGGUCUGAGAGGACGACCAGCCACACUGGGACUGAGACACGGCCCAGACUCCUACGGGAGGCAGCAGUGGGGAAUUUUGGACAAUGGGCGAAAGCCUGAUCCAGCAAUGCCGCGUGUGUGAUGAAGGCCUUCGGGUUGUAAAGCACUUUUGGCGGGAACGAAAAGGACUGUGCCAAUACCACGAUUCGAUGACGGUACCCGCAGAAUAAGCACCGGCUAACUACGUG
rnacentral:rRNA from 1 species